GACGGAGGAUGCAAGUGUUAUCCGGAAUCACUGGGCGUAAAGCGUCUGUAGGUGGUUUAAUAAGUCAACUGUUAAAUCUUGAGGCUCAACCUCAAAAUCGCAGUCGAAACUAUUAGGCUAGAGUAUAGUAGGGGUAAAGGGAAUUUCCAGUGGAGCGGUGAAAUGCGUAGAUAUCGAGAGGAACACCUGCGGCGAAGGCGGGUUGCUGGGCCGACACUGACGCUGAAGCGCGAAAGCUAGGGGAGCGAACAGG
rnacentral:rRNA from 1 species